CCUACGGGAGGCAGCAGUGGGGAAUUUUGGACAAUGGGCGAAAGCCUGAUCCAGCAAUGCCGCGUGAGUGAAGAAGGCCUUCGGGUUGUAAAGCUCUUUUGUCAGGGAAGAAACGGUGAGAGCUAAUAUCUCUUGCUAAUGACGGUACCUGAAGAAUAAGCACCGGCUAACUACGUGCCAGCAGCCGCGGUAAUACGUAGGGUGCGAGCGUUAAUCGGAAUUACUGGGCGUAAAGCGUGCGCAGGCGGUUUUGUAAGUCUGAUGUGAAAUCCCCGGGCUCAACCUGGGAAUUGCAUUGGAGACUGCAAGGCUAGAAUCUGGCAGAGGGGGGUAGAAUUCCACGUGUAGCAGUGAAAUGCGUAGAUAUGUGGAGGAACACCGAUGGCGAAGGCAGCCCCCUGGGUCAAGAUUGACGCUCAUGCACGAAAGCGUGGGGAGCAAACAGGAUUAGAUACCCUGGUAGUCCACGCCCUAAACGAUGUCUACUAGUUGUCGGGUCUUAAUUGACUUGGUAACGCAGCUAACGCGUGAAGUAGACCGCCUGGGGAGUACGGUUCGCAAGAUUAAAACUCAAAUUGAAGUUGACGG
rnacentral:rRNA from 1 species